rnacentral:rRNA from 1 species
UGCCAGACUCCUACGGGAGGCAGCGGUGGGGAAUAUUGCACAAUGGGGGAAACCCUGAUGCAGCGACGCCGCGUGAGUGAAGAAGUAUUUCGGUAUGUAAAGCUCUAUCAGCAGGGAAGAAAAUGACGGUACCUGAGUAAGAAGCCCCGGCUAACUACGUGCCAGCAGCCGCGGUAAUACGUAGGGGGCAAGCGUUAUCCGGAUUUACUGGGUGUAAAGGGAGCGUAGACGGCAGUGCAAGUCUGGAGUGGAAGGCGGGGGCUCAACCCCCGGACUGCUCUGGAAACUGUACGGCUGGAGUGCAGGAGAGGUAAGUGGAAUUCCUAGUGUAGCGGUGAAAUGCGUAGAUAUUAGGAGGAACACCAGUGGCGAAGGCGGCUUACUGGACUGUAACUGACGUUGAGGCUCGAAAGUGUGGGUAUCAAACAGGAUUAGAUACCCCAGUAAAC